AAGUCGUAACAAGGUUUCCGUAGGUGAACCUGCGGAAGGAUCAUUACCAAGUUUAAUCCAAACAACUCAACCCAUGUGAACGAUGAAUUGUCUGUCUUUGGGGUGGAAAAAAGCUUGAGAGCUAGUUUGCAUAAACUAGCCUUUAGUUGAUUUCACUCCACAUGUUAACUUCCUUUAUAUUAUCUAGUGGCAUCUAUUUGUCUUAAUAAAACAUUAGACAACUUUUAACGGUGGAUCUCUUGGCUCGUG
rnacentral:misc_RNA from 1 species